rnacentral:lncRNA from 1 species
UGAGUGUAGCGAGUGUGGGAAGACUUUUAGUCAGAGCACUCACCUUGUUCAGCACCAGAGAAUUCACACUGGGGAGAAGCCCUACGAGUGCCACGAAUGUGGGAAAACAUUCAGCCGGAGCUCAAAUUUUGCGAAGCAUCAAAGAAUUCACGUUGGAAAGAAACCCUAUAAGUGUGGAGAAUGCGGGAAAGCCUUCAUUCAUUCAUCAGCUCUUAUUCAACACCAGAGAACUCACACUGGAGAGAAGCCUUUUAGGUGUAAUGAGUGUGGGAAAAGCUUCAAGUGCAGCUCAUCCCUCAUCCGACAUCAAAGAACCCACACUGAAGAGCAGUCCUGAAGAGGUGCCGAGUGUUACGGGAAAGUUGGCUACGUCGCUGGGUUUAAUAUUUGAAUGUUGAAAUAGAAGGACCACAAUGUGACCCUGGGGAGUGUCUGUGUGUAUGAUUUCCCUUGUCCGGUAUAUAACUUUAGAACAGCAGAUGAAGAAUCCCUUAUACUCAUUGGCUUGAUAAUAGUGAAAAGCCCUGGCUAUAAUUCUCAAAAUGUUUCUUCUCGGUUUUCCAAAUGCCCAAUUUUAAAUUCAAGAAAUGCUUGGGAGACGGUAAUACUGUGAACAUCACGAAAUCUAGUUUCCCUGUGCUUAGUCACAGCAGGGUAUGCUGAAGCCUUCCCUUUAGUAAGGAAAUCUUUUCUUUUGUAGAUUAGGCUUGAGACACACAUUCUUAUCCUCAGGAAGAUACACAGUUGUUACUCUCAAUGCAAAGACAGACAAACCUACCACAUCAUUUCCUUCAAACUAAAUGAAGGUGGAGAGAUGAGAACAGCUUAGGAUUCCAUCCCCCACCAAGAGCGUCUAAUUUGAUGGAUAUAGAUUCUAGGUUGGGUGUACAUGAACUGUAUUGGUCACUGAUUCACAUAAAUGGCAUUGUUAUCCUUUUGUUUGGAAAAUUCUCCGGUUCCUUGGGAUCUACCCUACAGUACCUAGCAGAUCAGAGUCUCCCCUUUCCUUUUGUGUGCCAAAGUCCUCUUUUCUCAUCUUUGUCACUCAUGGAGCCCUUGGCUUUUGGUAAGCAGGUCAUCAAGGAGAGUUCCUUCUGAUACAUUAUUAAGCUUCUGGUGCACUAUCCUCUGUGACUUUUAGAAAGUCCUCUGGGUGUGUUGCAGUUUGACCAUGUGAAAAGUUGAUGGGGGUCAAUGUAUUAUUUGGUUUAGGGUCCCAGGCAAGAGAAUGCUGAGGUGACUGUGUGGUACCCCGGCUUCCUCUCCAGCAUAGAAAGAAGCUCUCAGGGCAGCCCUGACGUGACCUGCCCAAGGAUAAACAUCUUUUUCUCCGACCUAUCUGGCCUUCAUGCUUACAUUAUUUUAUUACUCUUAUCAUCCAUACAUUAGUUGGUCUUUACCCCUGGCCUCUUAAGUAAACAUGCCAUGAAAUCAUAAUGACCUAUUACUGUAAUUUACAUAUGUGACCAAAAGCCAUUGAGAAGAUGGGAAACACAAAAACAAAGUAACUAUGAGUAAAACAACACACAGUGCCAGGUUUUUAAUUAUUCUAUUCUGUAUUGUAGGUUAUAUAUAUAAGAAUAAAAUUAUAGGAAAAGU